GAUGAAGAACGUAGCGAAAUGCGAUAAGUAAUGUGAAUUGCAGAAUUCAGUGAAUCAUCGAAUCUUUGAACGCACAUUGCGCCCGCCAGUAUUCUGGCGGGCAUGCCUGUUCGAGCGUCAUUACAACCCUCAGGCCCCCGGGCCUGGCGUUGGGGAUCGGCGGAGCCCCCCGUGGGCACACGCCGUCCCCCAAAUACAGUGGCGGUCCCGCCGCAGCUUCCAUCGCGUAGUAGCUAACACCUCGCGACUGGAGAGCGGCGCGGCCACGCCGUAAAACACCCAACUCUUCUGAAGUUGACCUCGAAUCAGGUAGGAAUACUCGCUGAACUUAAGCAUAUCAAUAAGCGGAGGA
rnacentral:misc_RNA from 1 species